ensembl:lncRNA
AAGGUUAGCUUAAUCCUAUACGUCAAGGUUAGCUUAAUCCUAUACGUCAAGGUUAGCUUAAUCCUAUACGUCAAGGUUAGCUUAAUCCUAUAUGUCAAUGUCAACUAUUACACAAUUGACGCAUAGGGAUAGAAGUGUAGGGGAUUUUUUUUUAAAGCAAAUUGAAUAAUGACGUAAAAGGUCAAUUCACUUGUUUGCUUGAUAUACUAUUGCUUUUUAAAAAGCAGUGAUUUGGCGCGAGAGACAGUUUAAACAGCAUCGUCAAAGCUACGGUGUCUGAAAUAGUUCAAUCUAACAUCCUGAAGAAGGGGACAUGAAGAACUACAUGUCUCUAGAAAACAACUCUCCUUCACUAAAAGAAAACACAAGUCCUGGUAAACUGGCACGUUCAUUUAUUUCCAUAAAUAUAUAUAUAUUUUUUAAAGAAUAGUUCUUAAUUUCUUCUUCACUACACGCUAUCACAUCAAAAGCCCGUCUAGCUGUGUGUCCAUGAAAUUACAUUCUAAACCACUGGAUAUGUAUUCUAAACCACUGGAUAUGUAUUCUAAACCACUGGAUAUGUAUUCUAAACCACUGGAUAUGUAUUCUAAACCACUGGAUAUGUAUUCUAAACCACUGGAUAUGUAUUCUAAACCACUGGAUAUGUAUUCUAAACCACUGGAUAUGUCUUUAAUCAAAUCCAACAGAAAAAUUAGGGACUUCUUAUUUAACAGGCAAACAUCACAAUCAACUACAGGUUGGUUACAUACUGAGUGAGAGUUGAGUCCAAACAGACACAAUCUGAUUGAAGUGUUAUAACCAUCUGUUAUUAAUGUGUUAUUUACAUUAUAACCUGUUAUAUAUGUUAUAUAUAUAUAACCUGUUAUUAACCUUAACUCUCACUUAAGGAAUGCAAGAUCCUCGUUGUGAAAUUGUAGCCUGGUCCCAGAUCCAUUUGUGUCAUCUUACCUAUUCCUAGGGUCGUUACUUUGGCAAGACAACACAAACAGAUCUGGGACUUGUCCUAUCCACCCACUUCUUUCCUUAGAAAUCCAAUUAUUUUAAUCAAAGGCCACAUCUGUCACACAAUACAGUGUAUAAUGUAUAUCCGCAAAGCAAGGCACUAGACCUUAGAUUGCAGCUCAGCUAGCCAGACUGGCAAUAAUGUUCACUUGAACCGGAUUCUACUGCAGAGUCAAACCAUGCCUAGCUGUACUGGGUUGCCUUGGUUACUUGCUGGAAAGGAAACAGAACCAGCAGAGUCCGGGUCAGUUCAGCCCUACAGAGUGACCCAGGUAAUGGAGACAUUGAGCUUCGAUCCAGUCCUCAAGUCCACACUGAUCACAAUGACAGAAUUUCAAGACAUAAAGUGCAUUCGGAAAGUAUUCAGACCACUUGACUUUUUCCACAUUUUGUUACAGCCUUAUUCUAAAAUGGAUUAAAUACUUACCCCAUAAUGACAAAGCGAAAUCUGUUAUAUUUUUUAUUUUAGCAAAUGUAUAUACAGUGCCUUGCGAAAGUAUUCGGCCCCCUUGAACUUUGCGACCUUUUGCCACAUUUCAGGCUUCAAACAUAAAGAUAUAAAACUGUAUUUUUUUGUGAAGAAUCAACAACCAGUGGGACACAAUCAUGAAGUGGAACGACAUUUAUUGGAUAUUUCAAACUUUUUUAACAAAUCAAAAACUGAAAAAUUGGGCGUGCAAAAUUAUUCAGCACCUUUACUUUCAGUGCAGCAAACUCUCUCCAGAAGUUCAGUGAGGAUCUCUGAAUGAUCCAAUGUUGACCUAAAUGACUAAUGAUGAUAAAUACAAUCCACCUGUGUGUAAUCAAGUCUCCGUAUAAAUGCACCUAAAUGCACCACCCUAAAAACUGCUGUUCACAAAUGCUCUCCAUCCAACCUCACUGAGCUCGAGCUGUUUUGCAAGGAGGAAUGGGAAAAAAUUUCAGUCUCUCGAUGUGCAAAACUGAUAGAGACAUACCACAAGCGACUUACAGCUGUAAUCGCAGCAAAAGGUGGCGCUACAAAGUAUUAACUUAAGGGGGCUGAAUAAUUUUGCACGCCCAAUUUUUCAGUUUUUGAUUUGUUAAAAAAGUUUGAAAUAUCCAAUAAAUGUCGUUCCAC